rnacentral:rRNA from 1 species
UACGUAGGGUGCGAGCGUUGUCCGGAAUUACUGGGCGUAAAGAGCUCGUAGGUGGUUUGUCGCGUUGUUCGUGAAAACUCACAGCUUAACUGUGGGCGUGCGGGCGAUACGGGCAGACUGGAGUACUGCGAGGGGAGACUGGAAUUCCUGGUGUAGCGGUGGAAUGCGCAGAGUAUCGAGGAGGAACACCGGUGGCGAAGGCGGGUCUCUGGGCAGUAACUGACGCUGGAGGAGCGAAA